rnacentral:rRNA from 1 species
UACGAAGGGGGCUAGCGUUGUUCGGAAUUACUGGGCGUAAAGCGCACGUAGGCGGGUCGUUAAGUCAGGGGUGAAAUCCCAGAGCUCAACUCUGGAACUGCCCUUGAUACUGGCGACCUAGAGUUCGGAAGAGGUUAGUGGAAUUCCAAGUGUAGAGGUGAAAUUCGUAGAUAUUGGGAAGAACACCAGUGGCGAAGGCGGCUAACUGGUCCGAUACUGACGCUGAGGUGCGAAAGCGUGGGGAGCAAACAGG